CCUACGGGAGGCAGCAGUGAGGAAUAUUGGUCAAUGGGCGGGAGCCUGAACCAGCCAAGUCGCGUGAGGGAAGACGGUCCUACGGAUUGUAAACCUCUUUUGCCGGGGAGCAACGGGGUCCUUGCGAGGGCCCGAUGAGAGUACCCGGAGAAAAAGCAUCGGCUAACUCCGUGCCAGCAGCCGCGGUAAUACGGAGGAUGCGAGCGUUAUCCGGAUUUAUUGGGUUUAAAGGGUGCGUAGGCGGGCUGUUAAGUCAGCGGUAAAAGGGCGGGGCUCAACCCCGGCCUGCAGUUGAAACUGGCGACCUCGAGUGGGCGAGAGGCAUGUGGAAUGCGUGGUGUAGCGGUGAAAUGCAUAGAUAUCACGCAGAACUCCGAUUGCGAAGGCAGCAUGCCGGCGCCCGACUGACGCUGAGGCACGAAAGCGUGGGUAUCGAACAGGAUUAGAUACCCGGGUAGUC
rnacentral:rRNA from 1 species